ensembl:snRNA U6 U6 spliceosomal RNA
GUGCUUGCUGCGUCAUCAGUACAUAUACUAAAAUUGGAAUCAUACAGAGAAGAUUAGUACAGCCCUAUAUAAGAAUGACACGUAACUUCGUGGGGUGUUUCAUAUUUUU